UCUGAAUGAUUUAUCUGCACAGAUACCCAGUGCUACAAGCAUGGCUGUCUCAGCACUACGGCUGACGAUUGUCCUGGGACUACUGGUCUUAAUCCUGACUUGCCAGGCAGAUGACAAACCAGAUGACAAGCCAGAUGACUCAGACAAAAAAACAGAGCCAGAUUUUCCAAAAUUCCUAAACCUCUUGGGCACAGAGAUCAUUGAGAAUGCAGUGGAGUUCAUCCUCCGCUCCAUGACGAGGAGCACGUAAGCACUGUGACAAACCUUGCUUUUGUCCAGUUUGCUGUUGAGGAUUUAUGGAAUUUGAUGAUAAACAAGGAGAACAUUCAGCAAAGUGACUUCCCCAGGACACACCCAACAUGGUUCCAGAAUAACCCAAGGGCAGCAAAUCCUGCUUUUCCAGUUCUGCUUCACGAGUCCGAGGCCCCAAAGCAGCUCCAAGCAAGUUCUCAGGAUUCAGGACCUGGCUCAACCAAACACAGCUUAUUCUGAACAUCCUGAUUUUGCCUUCUUGCCUCUAGAAGUCAGAGGACUGUGUCCUCUUAGGGGUCACAUACCCUAUUUAAAUGAGAUUUUUGUUGUUGGUGGCAGUAACUGUCCUGAGCAUCCUUAAAGUUUUUAAUGAUGCAAAAAAUAUAAAAUAUAUAAAAGUGA